rnacentral:siRNA from 1 species
UGGAUAUGCCCAGAAAAUGUGAA